GUGCCAGCCGCCGCGGUAAUACGGAGGGUGCAAGCGUUGUCCGGAUUUAUUGGGUUUAAAGGGUGCGAAGGCGGGUUAGUAAGUCAGUGGUGAAAGCCGGCAGCUCAACUGUCGAAUUGCCAUUGAUACUGUUAACCUUGAGUAUAGUUGAGGUAGGCGGAAUGGAAGGUGUAGCGGUGAAAUGCAUAGAUAUCUUCCAGAACACCGAUAGCGUAGGCAGCUUACUAAGCUAUAACUGACGCUGAGGCACGAAAGCGUGGGGAGCGAACAGGAUUAGAAACCCUAGUAGUCC
rnacentral:rRNA from 1 species